AACGAACGCUGGCGGCAUGCCUAACACAUGCAAGUCGAACGAGACCUUCGGGUCUAGUGGCGCACGGGUGCGUAACGCGUGGGAACCUGCCCUUAGGUUCGGAAUAACUCCCCGAAAGGGGUGCUAAUACCGGAUAAUGUCUUCGGACCAAAGAUUUAUCGCCUUUGGAUGGGCCCGCGUUGGAUUAGCUAGUUGGUAGGGUAAAAGCCUACCAAGGCGACGAUCCAUAGCUGGUCUGAGAGGAUGAUCAGCCACACUGGGACUGAGACACGGCCCAGACUCCUACGGGAGGCAGCAGUGGGGAAUAUUGGGCAAUGGGCGAAAGCCUGAUCCAGCAAUGCCGCGUGAGUGAUGAAGGCCUUAGGGUUGUAAAGCUCUUUUAACCGGGAUGAUAAUGACAGUACCGGGAGAAUAAGCUCCGGCUAACUCCGUG
rnacentral:rRNA from 1 species